AGUGACAGGGUUGCAUCACUGACUCUGCCCAAUGAGGUAGGUCCACUCAAAUUAUUGGCACAUCAGCCUGCCUGCCAAUCAAACCAGCUAGUUCACUGAAUGCAGGACUUGCAAAGAGCACUGUUUCAAUGCUCUAAGUGCAGAGCAAGUGUGUCUAAUAAUGCACUCAUGCUACACUUUUUGGGGACACCAGGAAACAAAGUUUGGACAGCUGGACAGGACAUGAAAAUCAGGACUGUCCUGCUGAAAUCACGGCUGGGAGGCCUGCUGCUUACUAAGGUGCAAAGCCCAGUCUCUGUUUGCCAUUGUUAGAUAAGCAUACUAAUUAUAUAAUAAGCAUACUAUAUUAUAUAAUAAUGUAGUCUGAAACCCGACUUUAUAGACCUCCUUAGCACUGAACUGGGUCUUUCAAAAUCCCUGAAGCAGCACUAACCGGUAACUCUGAAGUUGAAAAACUAAAACUUCCAUUAUUGUUUGGUAAACAAAAAACCUGUAGACCCAAAAAUAGAAAAAGUGAGCAACUUGCUGGUUAUGACUGCCCUAAAGAAUGGAAUUCCUGUGAUUUUUGAAUCAGUGAUUGUUUUGUGUGAAGUAGUGUUGGAUUAUUUAAAACCUUAAUAUUGACAUGCAUGCUGUUAUUUUCUGGUAACUCUCAUUAGAAGCAAAUACCAGUUAAACAAGGGUAUCACAAUCACUACUUAUGAGAAAGAUAAUUAUAAAGGAAAUGAUACCUUACCCUAAAAGAAAAUGGUGUGACUCCAUACAUGCAGUUAUUUCAGAAGGUAGAUUAUGUUUUGAAAUUCCAGAGUGAGUGACAAAGUUACAUGGAGCACUAAACAUAACUAAUUCCUUGUGUGCAAAGCAGGAACCCGUUGGUGGGUGUUACACUUCUUGAUAACAGUUGUCCAUUGGUCCAUGUCCUUUGUUUGUUCCCUGGAGUCGCGUAAUUAAAUAGGCUUCACCUGUGAAAACUGAAAUCAAAGCAAUCGGCCCAUGAAACAGAGCUAUGUUAAAGGAACACUAUAGCCAAGCCUGUCUAGGUGGAGGAGAGGGGUACAGGCAGCAUUCCCCCAAUGUGUGUGUAGAUUUAUAUACUGGGCCACUACUGUGUAGAAUAAUGAAGAAGGGGCCCAGCAUCCACCUCCAGAAUCCAUCUCUGGCAGUGUCCACUUCCAAGCGCUGGCUAUCUGCUCUUCUGCUAUUUGGUGGAGGUGUAACAUGGCGUCUGGGCUUUCGUCUUCAUUAUAGAAACAAGUAGAAGCCUGCAGUGUGCCACGGACCACCAGGGAAUCUAGUGACCCCCUCCCAGCCAUACGUAAGAAUCAGGGAAGUGGGAAUAAAAAAAAAAAAAAAAAUCUUAUCCUAUCCUACUCUAGAAAUGUAUACACACACUGCAUCCACCACACAAAUACACUGCAUUCCACUUUAGACUAUAGACUCCAUCUACUACACACACAACAAUGAUUAUACACACAUACACACUGCAUUUACUACACAAACACUUUACACACACACACCAUCCAGUAGACACACACAUCACCCUGUACACACACACACUGCACCAACUACAUACACCUUCCAUUUACCUAUUUACAGCACUGAGGCUCCCUCAUCUCUGCUUAUCGCUCCUCCCCUAACAAACAUGGCUACCGCCACGAUGAUUCAUGAUUUGAAUGCGCGUGGGUGGAGUGUGCAUGCAAAACACACACACACUUCAUCUACUACAAGCACACAGCAUCCACUUUACUCACACAAAAUUUAAUUUCAAUGAAGUGGUCUAAAUGCAGUGUCCCUGUCCUCUAAACCCUGUAAUGUGAUAUUUUUGAGAAGCUGCAAUGUUGUACAUUGCAGGGUUAAAUCCACCUCUAGAGUAUCACAGCCAUUAGAGGCUUUUCUGGGGCACUGAUUUAGCGAAGUUUGGUCAUGUGACAUGGAUGUUCCUAUAGGAAAGCAUGGAUUCAAUUAAAGUUUUGCAUGCACACUCCACACACGCGCAUUCAAAUCAUGAAUCAUCGUGGCGGUAGCCAUGUUUGUUAGGGGAGGAGCGAUAAGCAGAGAUGAGGGAGCCUCAGUGCUGUAAAUCAAACAUUAAUUUAUAAAUUUUUAUUGCACCUGAGGUAGGAACUAUAGCGUUUGUAAUACAGAUUUGUAUUCCUAGUGCUAUAGUGUUUCUUUAAGUGAGGUUAGCAGCUAAGAGGUUACAUGACUCCCAAGUGUCCCUCUUUAGAAGGGAAAGUCCCCAUUUAGAGACCAAAGUCCCUCUCUCCCUCUUCUCUAUUCUAAUAUCCCUCUUUUCUAGGAGCUCUGCAUUAUUGGUGUGUCUGAAUUUAUACAACAAACUCCACAGCAAUAAUACUCACAGUACUGUAUCGUUAAACUACAAUAAAUAUGUUUAGAAAUCGGUGUCUGUAAAUACGAGACAUUGUUCUUCUUUUACAUUUGUUACAUAAGUUGUUAUUAGUAAGUCUCUCUUUGUCCAUUUGAAAGUUUGGGAAAUAUGCACUUAUGACUACAAGAAAUAGCUCUGACUGCAAUCAGAAUUUAGAAUUUGCAAUGAAAGGUAUGUUUUUUUUGUUUUUUUAAAUUUGUAUUUAUUUUGUUGGUGCAUUUUUUAUGAUUCUCUGUCAGGCAUAUCAUUUAAACAGCAACCAUGGAGUACCACAUUAUUAUUUUUUUCUUAGAAUAUAUAUGUUGAGUGUUUCGGAUUAUAUAUUCUACAAUUAGUUA
rnacentral:lncRNA from 1 species